GACGAACGCUGGAGGCGUGCUUAACACAUGCAAGUCGAACGAUGAAAUGGAGCUUGCUCCAUGGAUUAGUGGCGAACGGGUGAGUAACACGUGAAUAACCUGCCCUUAAUUUUGGAAUAACCCAGGGAAACCUGGGCUAAUACCGGAUAAGUAAACCUGUGGCAUCACAUGGUUUUGGAAAGUUUUUCGAUUAAGGAUGGAUUCGCGGCCUAUCAGCUUGUUGGUGAGGUAAUGGCUCACCAAGGCGACGACGGGCAGCCGGCCUGAGAGGGUGAACGGCCACACUGGGACUGAGACACUGCCCAGACUCCUACGGGAGGCAGCAGUGGGGAAUAUUGCGCAAUGGACGAAAGUCUGACGCAGCGACGCCUCGUGAGGGACGAAGGUCUUCGGAUUGUAAACCUCUUUCAGCAGGGACGAAGCGAAAGUGACGGUACCUGCAGAAGAAGCACCGGCUAACUAUGUGCCAGCCGCCGCGGUAA
rnacentral:rRNA from 1 species